rnacentral:rRNA from 1 species
UACGGAGGGUGCAAACGUUGCUCGGAAUCAUUGGGCGUAAAGCGUACGUAGGCGUCCGGUAAGUCGGGUGUGAAAUGCCUGGGCUUAACCGAGGAAGUGCAAACGAAACUACCGGACUUGAGUACUGAAGAGGGUCGCGGAAUUCCUGGUGUAGCGGUGAAAUGCGCAGAUAUCAGGAAGGAACACCCGGUGGCGAAGGCGGACUCUGGCGG